GGAUCGGCAACGUGAAGCUGUAGUUACCGAGCAUCAAAGGAAAGUUAAGGAGGUCAUGACAGCUAAGGCAAAAAAACCAGAUGAGUUGGAGCUGAAGGCAAUGAAAGCGAUGGGAGCAAUGGAGGAAGGGGACGCUGUGUUUGGUUCAGGUGCUGAAGUGAACCUGGAUUCACAGGUUUACUGGUGGCAUGACAAGUACCGACCAAGGAAACCAAAGUACUUCAAUCGUGUGCAUACUGGAUAUGAGUGGAACAAAUACAAUCAAACUCAUUAUGAUCACGACAACCCGCCUCCUAAAAUCGUCCAGGGUCUACAAGUUCAACAUAUUUUACCCUGAUCUUGUGGAUAAAUCAAAAGCACCAAUAUACACUAUAGAGAAAGAUGGAAGCGCGGGGGAGACAUGCCAUAUAAGGUUUCAUGCUGGCCCUCCAUACGAGGAUAUUUCUUUCCGCAUCGUGAACAAGGAGUGGGAGUACUCACACAAGAAGGGCUUCAAGUGCACAUUUGAGCGUGGGAUUCUUCAUCUGUAUUUCAACUUCAAGCGAUACCGCUACAGGCGAUAGAUACCCACACAGCAGAAAGAACUGGAUCGUUGAUUGGCCUAUUAGAAGUUGGUUCUCUGUUUCUCGCUUGAGAGUGUUCUUACAGGAUAGCUCCCGCAUCACAGAAUUCAUCCGAGUAGGCAUG